GCGGGGAUGGCCCAGUGGUACGGCGGCAGCCUGCUAAGCUGUUUCUCGAAAUGAGAGCAUGGGUUCAAAUCCCAUUCCCCGCG
rfam:Ferroplasma sp. Type II genomic scaffold AMDT4_FER2S00039, whole genome shotgun sequence.